GACGAACGCUGGCGGCGUGCUUAACACAUGCAAGUCGAACGGAAAGGCCCUGCUUUUGUGGGGUGCUCGAGUGGCGAACGGGUGAGUAACACGUGAGUAACCUGCCCUUGACUUUGGGAUAACUUCAGGAAACUAGGGCUAAUACCGGAUAGGAGCUCCUGCUGCAUGGUGGGGGUUGGAAAGUUUCGGCGGUUGGGGAUGGACUCGCGGCUUAUCAGCUUGUUGGUGGGGUAGUGGCUUACCAAGGCUUUGACGGGUAGCCGGCCUGAGAGGGUGACCGGCCACAUUGGGACUGAGAUACGGCCCAGACUCCUACGGGAGGCAGCAGUGGGGAAUAUUGCACAAUGGGCGGAAGCCUGAUGCAGCAACGUCGCGUGCGGGAUGACGGCCUUCGGGUUGUAAACCGCUUUCGCCUGUGACGAAGCGUGAGUGACGGUAAUGGGUAAAGAAGCACCGGCUAACUACGU
rnacentral:rRNA from 1 species